CGGACGGGUGAGUAACGCGUGGGUAACCUGCCUCAUACAGGGGGAUAACAGUUAGAAAUGACUGCUAAUACCGCAUAAGCGCACAGGAUCGCAUGAUUGGGUGUGAAAAACUCCGGUGGUAUGAGAUGGACCCGCGUCUGAUUAGCUAGUUGGUGGGGUAAAGGCCUACCAAGGCGACGAUCAGUAGCCGACCUGAGAGGGUGAUCGGCCACAUUGGGACUGAGACACGGCCCAAACUCCUACGGAAGGCAGCAG
rnacentral:rRNA from 1 species